GACGAACGCUGGCGGCGUGCUUAACACAUGCAAGUCGAACGGUAAGGCCCUUCGGGGUACACGAGUGGCGAACGGGUGAGUAACACGUGGGUGAUCUGCCCUGCACUUUGGGAUAAGCCUGGGAAACUGGGUCUAAUACCGAAUAUGACCAUGGACUUCACGGUUUGUGGUGGAAAGCUUUUGCGGUGUGGGAUGGGCCCGCGGCCUAUCAGCUUGUUGGUGGGGUAAUGGCCUACCAAGGCGACGACGGGUAGCCGGCCUGAGAGGGUGACCGGCCACACUGGGACUGAGAUACGGCCCAGACUCCUACGGGAGGCAGCAGUGGGGAAUAUUGCACAAUGGGCGCAAGCCUGAUGCAGCGACGCCGCGUGGGGGAUGACGGCCUCGGUUGUAAACCUCUUUCUACCACGGGACGAAGCGAGAGUGACGGUACCUGGAGAAGAAGGACCGG
rnacentral:rRNA from 1 species